AAGUCGUAACAAGGUUUCCGUAGGUGAACCUGCGGAAGGAUCAUUACAGUAUUCUAUUGCCUGCGCUUAAUUGCGCGGCGAUAAACCUUACACAACGUGUUUUUUUAUUAUGAACUACUACUUUGGUCUGGCUAAGAAAAUUAGUUGGGCCAGAGGUGAUUUAAACUUCAAUUUUAUUGAAUUGUUAUUUUAAUUUUGUCAAUUUGUUGAUUAAAUUCAAACAAUCUUCAAAA
rnacentral:misc_RNA from 1 species